rnacentral:rRNA from 1 species
GGGGCCAGCAGUCUAGAAAUUUGCGCAAUGGGGGAAACCCUGACGCAGCGACGCCACGUGGAGGAUGAAGCCUCUAGGGGUGUAAACUCCUGUCAGAAGGAAAGAACGCGGAAAUUUAUUUCCGUUUGACGGUACCUUCAAAGGAAGCCCCGGCUAACCUCGUGCCAGCAGCCGCGGUAAUACGAGGGGGGCAAGCGUUGUUCGGAUUUACUGGGCGUAAAGGGCGCGCAGGCGGACCGAUAAGUCGUCUGUGAAAUCUGCCGGCUCAACCAGCAGCCUGCAGUCGAAACUAUCGGUCUUGAGUAUGGGAGAGGUGAGCGGAAUCUCUGGUGUAGCGGUGAAAUGCGUAGAUAUCAGAGAGAACACCGGUGGCGAAGGCGGCUCACUGGCCUAAUACUGACGCUGAGGCGCGAAAGCUAGGGGAGCGAACGGGAUUAGAUACCCCGGUAGUCCUAGCCGUAAACGAUGGGUACUAGGUGUUGGAGGUAUUGACCC